GUGAUAAUGAACGCCAUACUAAUUUCCAAAUUGUACACAAGAAACUAAAAUUAAAAUAAUACAAGACUAACAAAGGCCAGAGGCUUCUGACUUGGGACAGGCGCAAAAAUGCGGCGGGGUUAAACAUGUUUGUGAGAUCUCAACCCUCCCCCUAUACCUCUAGCCAAUGUAGAAAAGUAAACGCAUAACAAUACGCACAUUAAAAUUCAGUUCAAGAGAAGUCCGAGUCUGAUGUCAGAAGAUGUAACCAAAGAAAAUAAACAAAAUGACAAUAAUACAUAAAUAACAACAGUCUACUAGCAGUUAACUGACAUGCCAGCUCCAGACUUCAAUUAAACUGACUGAAAGAUUAUGAUUUCAUCAUAUGAACAUCAGGCACAAUCCUUCCCGUUAGGGGUUUAGUAUCAUACAAUCAUAACAUAUAUGAG
rnacentral:lncRNA from 1 species